GUCAUCUGCGUCUCUCAACCGCCAUCUUGGUUAGCAAGCGUAUCGUGAAGCUUUGAUUCAUGGCUUUAAGACCAACAAAAAGAAAGUAUAUUGACACAUUUGACCAAUGAAGAAGACAAAUAUAUCGACAAAAUCACCAGUAUGAUGAUGGAAACAUGUCAGAAUGUGGACAAGCUGCCUCCAAUCUCCUACUGUGACACACAGUUCACUACUUGGUGAACAGGAAGAGCGCUUACAACAUGGAGGAGCCUCGCAUCCUGAAAUCCAUGCACGAAUAAAAUCGAUAUUUAAACGGCUUUGGAAAGGACGUGCGAACUCUUCACGUAAAUAAGGUUCUGGUUUCCCCUCAAUCAUUUAUCAAGAGUAACAAGAACCUGCUGCAAGUUCCUUUCUGACAUUUUAAGGUUUUUGGAGACUUCAGUUCUGCAUCUUCCAGUCUGCUCUCAGGAUCAACUUACUUGGACACAAAGAAAACAAUUUUCUAUACAUACAGAUGAAAUCAGUAUGUAUCACCACCAUGAUAAUGACUGUAAGAGUCCGAGAUAAGUGAGGCACAAGAUGCUUAAGGGGGCUGGACCAAAUGUGGAGGCGGCCCGCAGGCCGUAG